rnacentral:rRNA from 1 species
AACGCGAAGAACCUUACCUGGGCUUGAACCGCACAGGACCAGCUUCAGAAAUGAGGCCUUCCCGCAAGGGACCUGUGUAGAGGUGCUGCAUGGCUGUCGUCAGCUCGUGUCGUGAGAUGUUGGGUUAAGUCCCGCAACGAGCGCAACCCUUGUCCUGUGUUGCCAUACCGAAAGGUGGAACUCGCAGGAGACCGCCAGGGAUAACCUGGAGGAAGGUGGGGAUGACGUCAAGUCCUCAUGGCCUUUAUGUCCAGGGCUACACACGUGCUACAAUGGACGGUACAAAGGGCUGCCAACCCGCGAGGGGGAGCCAAUCCCAAAAAACCGUUCUCAGUUCGGAUUGCAGGCUGCAACUCGCCUGCAUGAAGCUGGAAUCGCUAGUAAUGGCGGAUCAGAACGCCGCCGUGAAUACGUUCCCGGGCCUUGUACACACCGGUACUA